GAGACACCCUAUGGGGCAAGACUUGCUUCAGUGGGGCUUCGGUGCUCACUGAGCUGCCCCCUGAGUGUGUCCCU
rnacentral:pre_miRNA from 1 species